rnacentral:rRNA from 1 species
GUCUACAGCUAUACCACCCUGAACACACUUGAUCUCAUCUGAUCUCUGAAGCUAAGCAGGGUGGCGCCUGGUUAGUACUUGGAGACUGCCUAGGGAUACCAGGUGCUGUAGGCU